rnacentral:rRNA from 1 species
CCUACGAGAGGCAGCAGUGAGGAAUAUUGGUCAAUGGGCGCGAGCCUGAACCAGCCAAGUAGCGUGAAGGAUGACUGCCCUACGGGUUGUAAACUUCUUUUAUAAAGGAAUAAAGUGAGGCACGUGUGCCUUUUUGUAUGUACUUUAUGAAUAAGGAUCGGCUAACUCCGUGCCAGCAGCCGCGGUAAUACGGCGGAUCCGAGCGUUAUCCGGAUUUAUUGUGUUUAAAGGGAACGUAGAUGGGUUGUUAAGUCAGUUGUGAAAGUUUGCGGCUCAACCGUAAAAUUGCAAGUGAUACUGGCAGUCUUGAGUACAGUAGAGGUAGGCGGAAUUCGUGGUGUAGCGGUGAAAUGCUUAGA